AUGGGCUCCUGGCUGCUCUGCUAUGUAGCCCUGUGCCUCCUGGGGGCGGGACCCUUGGACACAGCCAUUUCACAGAGUCCCAAAUACCUCAUCACACGGAUGGGAACUAAGGAGUCCCUUACAUGUGAACAAAGUCUGGGUCAUAAUGCUAUGUACUGGUAUAAGCAGGACUCCAAGCGAUUGCUGGAGAUUAUGUUUACCUACAGUAAUAAGGAACUCAUUUUAAAUGAAACAGUUCCAAGUCGCUUCUCACCUGAAGCUCCAGACAAAGCUCAUUUAAAUCUUCACAUCAAUUCCCCAGAGCCAGAUGAUUCUGCCAUGUAUCUCUGCGCCAGCAGCCAAGACACAGCCCUGCAGAGUCACCACGUCCCUGUGCACAAACCUCCUGGCCCAGCCAGGAAGCUGUGGAGGCAACGUGUUCACCUGUGCCCCAAGGCUCUGCUUUCCAUUCUCUGUGGGGCCCCUGAUGGAGUUUAA